GCUAGCGGCAGGCCUAAUACAUGCAAGUCGAGGGGUAGCUCUGCUUUCGGGCAGAAACGACCGGCGCACGGGUGCGUAACGCGUAUGCAACCUACCUACAACUGGGGGAUAGCCCGGAGAAAUCCGGAUUAAUACCCCAUAAUGCAGGGGUACCGCAUGGUACUAUUUGCUAAAGAUUUAUUGGUUGUAGAUGGGCAUGCGUCUGAUUAGUUAGUUGGUGAGGUAACGGCUCACCAAGACGACGAUCAGUAGGGGUUCUGAGAGGAUGAUCCCCCACACUGGUACUGAGAUACGGACCAGACUCCUACGGGAGGCAGCAGUAGGGAAUAUUGGUCAAUGGGCGAGAGCCUGAACCAGCCAUGCCGUGUGCAGGAUGACGGACUUCUGGGUUGUAAACUGCUUUUAUCAGGGAAGAAAAGGGUGAUGCGU
rnacentral:rRNA from 1 species